CCUGGCAUAGUAUGAGUCUCCUUAUUGCCAGCGUUUAUCUUUUGGAGAGAGAACCCUGAGAAAACUAACGAAACCAACCAACGAUGAGUGCCAACCAGAAAGCUAACAAGAGUUCUACGGAAAAGUUUCACCAGAAAGCUAAUAGGAUGUCUUUCGAUUAAUUGUUCAAGAACGGUCGCCGUGAAGACUAUAAAUAUUCUGAAGCUCACAGGGAUCGUAUGAGAGAUAUUUUGAAGAAUCCGACAAUUUUUUCCCAGGAUGAUAAGAUAAACACGCUAUUCAUAAAGAACUCGUGAUAUAGAUUUUUAGAUAAAUAUUAUAAUUUUUGAGAUAUCUCAAUUUGAAGUUUUAGAAUUUGGUAGUGCUUUGAUGAUAUCUUGUCUUUCUUUUUUCCAGGAAUUUGAGACGACUGGUUGGUCUCGAUAAUGAGACUCGACGAAUUUAUCUGAAUGCCUCUUACAAGAAAUUGAGAGCAAAAAUACCACUACUGCAGAUGAAAACCGAAAUGUCAGAUUUUUUAAUAAAAUCUCCUGACGCCCUCCCAGAGGAUAUUAAGAACCGGAUGCUGCAAAAAUUACUAAGUGAUGAUGAUGACGACAAACGCCUACAAGGUGUCAAAAGAGAAAAACGUAGCGCACUUGCUAAACUCCAAAGGCUAAGAGUUGAUAUUUCCCAGUACCACGAUAGUUAUCAAUACUCCAAAUUCGUCAAUCAUCUGCCAACUCAAGCCACAAUGGACCAGUACAUGAUGUUGGAGAAGGAAGUAACUAGGACGUCCGACAAAAUGGUUCAGCUGUUGGAAGAUGUGCAUCCAUACUUGUGUAUCUAGAAGAUGUAAAACGUCACACUGAAAUUAUGAUUUAUGAAAAAGGGAUUUAACUACCGGUGCAUUAUUCGGACAACAAUAUGUUUAUUUUAUGUUUCAUACAAUAUAAUAUAAGUUUGUUUCGUGAACUUCA